UUUAUCAUUGGGCAGAAUUGACUUAAAAUCAUUAUUCAAUAAGCCAUGUUUUUGAUAAAC
rnacentral:tRNA from 1 species